rnacentral:rRNA from 1 species
GAUGAACGCUGGCGGCGUGCCUAAUACAUGCAAGUCGAGCGAACAGAUGAGGAGCUUGCUCCUCUGACGUUAGCGGCGGACGGGUGAGUAACACGUGGGUAACCUACCUAUAAGACUGGGAUAACUUCGGGAAACCGGAGCUAAUACCGGAUAACAUAUGGAACCGCAUGGUUCUAUAGUGAAAGAUGGUUUUGCUAUCACUUAUAGAUGGACCCGCGCCGCAUUAGCUAGUUGGUAAGGUAACGGCUUACCAAGGCAACGAUACGUAGCCGACCUGAGAGGGGGGAUGGGCCACACUGAAACUGAGACCCGGUCCAGCCCCCAAGGGAAGGAGGCGUAGGGGAUCCUCCGGAAUGGGGCGAAAGCUGACGGAAGCAAGGCGGGUGGAGUAAGGAGGGUUUCCGCUCGGUAAACUCUGUUAUUAGGGAAGAACAAAUGUGUAAGUAACUGUGCACGUCUUGACGGUACCUAAUCAGAAAGCCACGGCUAACUACGUG